GUCGCUAUAGUAUAGUGGUUAGUACAACACGUUGUGGUUCGUCAAAAAGACCUCAAAUCCGUGUAGACGCCUGUUCGAUUCUGGCUAGCGACA